CAUUCAAAUUAUGAGAGAAGGAAGGAUGCAGUUUUUGGUGCAAUUGGUUUGUUUAUCAGCAGUCAUUGAAGGUAUCAUAUCAGCAGUGCAGCUGAUUGAAUCUGGAGGGGAUGUAAAAAGGCCUGGAGACUCCCUUCGCCUCUCCUGUCAAGGCUCUGGGUUCACCUUCAGCAGCUAUGAGAUGGACUGGGUGAGACAGGCUCCAGGGAAAGGACUGGAAUGGGUUGGUUGGAUAGACAACAAUGGUGAUGGAAGCCAGACAUACUAUGUUAAUUCAGUGAAAGGCCGCUUCACCAUCUCCAGGACUGAUGCCUCAAGCAUGCUGUAUCUGCAAAUGAACAACUUGAAACCGGAGGACACGGCUGUUUAUUACUGUGCAGGAGAGUCCACAGUGAAUCUACAUCCAGGUAAUCUGGGUGGGUGGAAGGGCAAGGAAAGGCAGAACCUACAUGCAUAA